UUCAACACAAUUGUUACAUGCCUUACCAAAAGCAAGUGUAUCUCUUACCAACCUAGUAAGUGUAUGCAAAGGCACAACACCUGAAAAAAUAAAACUACCUACUGUCAGUUGCUGGUUCCCAUUGCAAUUAUGUUUGCAUCAUCAAGAUCAUCGCCGCCGUGGCCAUCUACUGCAUCAUCGUCACUAGUGGACUCCGAGCCAACAUCAGAUGUUACAGUGGCUGUUACAACUAAAGUAAAGUCUAUUAACAUCAGGUGCAUGUCAUGCCAAUUUUGCACAUCUAGUAGGAAAUAACGAAAACAUGUGGAGAAUUCUCACUUCACCAGAAAAAGUACAGCCAGAGACCAAAGCAUACAAUCAGUUUAAGUAGUAUCUUAUUUCACUUAGGCUAAAAAGUACAAGGCAUUGUAAGGUAAAAGACUAUUUAAUCAGUCCUAGAGUACUACAGCAAGGUCCGAAUCACAUACAUGCAGGGCAAUAAACUCCAUUGUCACCAAACAGUAUAAUGAUUGCACAUGAUAGAGAAGUGACUACUAUAAUUGAACCUGCAAAUAAAAAUCUUGCUAACACCUAAAUUUGGGUCAAAUUUGAUGAAAAGAGAUGUGAUGUAGCACUAUAUAAGAUAGUCUUAUACUGAAGAGAUACAUUCCAGAGGUGGAACAGAUACAUUCCGCGUUCAGAAAUAGCAAAAGCAUAAAUCAAUUUGAGAAUGGGAUACAGAAAGCAUGAAGAUACACUGAAAAUGUAUAGCCUCUUCACAAUUAAGAAGAGGGUAUCUACCUUAGCUGAAUGCGAUAAGUACUAUAUGUUCUGUGUAGCAAUCAUGAAGCCUGAGAACUGGUAAUUGCCUCCCUGUCAAGAAAAUUCAGGUAUGAAGAGUCAACUAGAUUUAAGUUAGCAUAUUAAAGUCUAAGCAGAAUAGCAGAUUCAAGUCAGCGGCCACGGGGAGGGCCGGAUCCGCGGCGGCUUGCGGGAGGGGCGGUCGGCGGCAGCUUUGGGGGAGAGGCGCGGGCUAGGACUGGCACGAUGUGGAU
rnacentral:lncRNA from 1 species